rnacentral:rRNA from 1 species
ACGCUCGACACCUACGGGAGGCAGCAGUGGGGAAUAUUGCACAAUGGGGGAAACCCUGAUGCAGCAACGCCGCGUGAAGGAAGACGGUUUUCGGAUUGUAAACUUCUGUUCUUAGUGAAGAUAGUGACGGUAGCUAAGGAGCAAGCCACGGCUAACUACGUGCCAUCAGCCGCGGUAAUCUGAGCGGGCUGGCAAGGC